AUAGCCCAGCAAUUCUUCUCUCACCUUGUCAGGCUCGCCUUACCUUGCAGAGCCUUGAAAUUGAGGAAGAAGGAAUUUCCCUUCUAAUGGAAGAACACAAACAUGCUUCUCUCCAGCCUUCUGAAGGUGGUCCUGGCUUCACUGUGGCUCGGAUCUAGUAUGGCCCAAAGUGUAACUCAAGAUAAGCCAACAAAAGAGGUACCAGAGAAGGAGGCUGUGACCUUGGAUUGUACAUAUGAUACCAGUUAUCCAAAUUAUGGUCUCUUCUGGUACAAGCACCCCAGCAGUGGGGGGAUGACUUUCCUUAUUCAUCAGGACUCUUAUAGCCAGGAAAAUGCCACAGAAGGUCGCUACUCACUGAAUUUCCAGAAGGCAAACAAAUCCAUCCAACUUGUCAUCUCAGAUGCACAGGUGGAGGACUCUGCAGUCUACUUCUGUGCACUGAGUGAGCCCACAGUGAGAGGUGUGUUGGAGGGAGGUGUACCAAAACCCACAGUUCUCCUUGAUACAUCCACCUGCUGUUGGGUCCAGGGCUGAGAGUUGCCAUCACAGACAGGAAGUGGUUAGGGCUGUGGCAGCACAGGUGUAGGG